CGUAUUUAUCUCAGUUUGCCCAGGCAAAGACCACCAAGCACCCUUAGGGCUGUGGGGUGAGCAGGACACAUGGGUCCCAGAAAGCAGGUGUGCGGUGAUGGGGCUCACUUGGAUGAAAGCAGCAACCAAGUCUACUGUGAGGCAGACACCUGGCCAGGGUUCAAAGCAAAUGACUGCAGCUGGGAGGUGAGGAAGGCUGAGGGUGCAGCUUAGCAAGAAGUGACUUGGCACCACGCAGACACCCAGGCUAAACUGCUGGUGCGCAGGGCGGUGGGGAGAUCAGAUGCUCACCCUGGAUCUACAACAGCACUUUGGGAAUCCAGAUGCGGAGCCUACAACAGGAUCUAGCUUGAUGACACCCCAUCCCCAAACACUGAGAGCAAAUCCCCUUUAUCCUAAGGAAACCGGUACCUAACACAAGGUGUGCCACAGAGAAAGCUGGAUGGGGAAGUGGCCCUUGGCUGCAGCUCCCAUGACCCCGCGAUUGUCCCACACUGUCCCUGGGGUGGCAAUGAGCUCAUUUUGCUGCGGUUACCCUCCUUGCUGCAUGCCAGGUGCUUUGUCAUGAGGCAAGCCGAGGAGUGGGAACAGGUUAUUCAAGGUCUGCAGGGCCCGGAGCAAGCACGGGUCAAAGACAGUCCUAGUUCUUCUCCUAACACCUGCUGAGCCUGACCUGCUGAGAACGCAUCCCACUCAUCACCUAUGUGUCGCAGCGGGCCUUCGUCUCCGCCAGACCCAGGGGCAGGCAGGUGCCUGGCCUUGCACUUUGGAAGCCAUUUACACCUCUUAAAAGGGAGUCCAGAAUAUAUUCCCACCUCUCCCUGAUCUAACCUGUCACCAGGAUGAUCAUUUCCAUCUGGGAACAAUGAGAUCUUUAUUCUACCGUGAGUGCUGGACCCUCCCUGUGCCGAGCGGACCAGCCUGCGGGGAGGAUGCACCACAGUACAGGCCCUCAUAGAGGUCGGUUCCUUCUCCGGGUGGGGGAGACAGUGAGGGACAGCAGUGUAAGACACACACCCAGCUCAGUGUCCUUGUUCCCCGUGGGAAAUGGAAAGCUUUUAGUGCCAGGAGGUCAAACUCCCCCAAUGCAUAGCCCCAGGAUGUACCACAAAACCUUUCUUCUCCAUUGGGGAAACCCCUGCACAUCCCCAGCCCCAGUGGUUAACCUGAAGUGCGGCCUCUGGGAUAGGCCAAACAAGCACACAGAGAGGUUCUGCACAUGAGGGUUUCUGCACAUGGGGGGUGUCUGUGCCUUCCAGUGCAUCACAUUCAGCAAGCCCCGUGGGGAGCGGGGCAAGCCAGAGCUCCUGUUGCAGGUUCCUGAGCUAGGGCAUGGCAGGGUGUGCUCUGUGCUCUGCUCUGCCUCUGCUCUGUGCUGCUCUCAGAGAGGAAGCUUUCUGGCAUUGCCCCUGAAACAGCGGCUCCCCAGGCCCUGUCCUGGGGCCUCUUGCUUCUCCAGACAGCACACACUCAGACCCCUGCACUCUGCCAGUGCCCAGACAGCAAAAGAAAGCCCUAAGCCUGUAUUUCUCAGGGCAACGUGGACUUUGCUGGUUAGACAGCCCAGCUACGGAGCCUGGGAGCUGGUUACCUGGGGACAAGCCCAAGAACAGAGAAGGACUUGAGGAGGAGAAGCCCCUCAACACCUGUUG